rnacentral:rRNA from 1 species
CCUACGGGCGGCAGCAGUGGGGAAUAUUGCACAAUGGGGGGAACCCUGAUGUAGCGACGCCGCGUGAAGGAAGAAGUAUUUCGGUAUGUAAACUUCUAUUAGCAGGGAAGAAAAUGACGGUACCUGACUAAGAAGCCCCGGCUAACUACGUGCCAGCAGCCGCGGGAAAAGGGAGGGGGCAAGCGUUAUCCGGAUUUACUGGGUGUAAAGGGAUCGUAGGCGGCAGGGCAAGUCAGAAGUGAAAGCCCAAGGUUCAACCAUGGGACUGCUUUGGAAACUGUGCGGCUAGAUUGCAGGAGAGGUAAGUGGAAUUCAUGGUGUAGCGGUGAAAUGCGUAGAUAUUAGGAAGAACACCAGUGGCGAAGGCGGCUUACUGGACUGUAAAUGACGCUGAGGCUCGAAAGCGUGGGGAGCAAACAGGAUUAGAUACCCCAGUAGUC